AUGGGACUAGGCAGAGUUUUGAGUUACUUUACUCUAGCAAUCUUCAUUCAAUAUUCCUGCAGUCAGACACUGAUCGAAUCUGAUCCAGUGACCAUCAAACCUGAUCAGUCUCAUAAACUGACCUGCACAGCCUCUGGAUUUAACUUUGGUAGCUACUGGAUGGCUUGGAUCAGACAGGCGCCUGGAAAAGGGCUGGAAUUUGUUGCAACUAUUGAGGGUGAUAGUGAUAGGAAGUAUUACUCCAGUGCUGUUCAGGGCCGCUUCACCAUCUCCAGAGACAACAGUAAGAAGCAGGUGUAUCUGCAGAUGAACAACAUGAGGACAGAAGACACAGCAGUUUAUUACUGCCUACAUAUAGAGAAAUAUCAGCCACUGUCACUGUGGGCUCUGGAGAAGUACAAAUUGUUUGAGAACAUUUAA